GCUGUGACAGACUGUUUUGUGCUUGUGACUUGCUUCUGAAAAAGCUAUUUUUUCAAAUGAUCUUUUUCUGGGACUUCUGGUUCUGAUCCUUUGUAUUCAUUUAUUAAAGA